GCCAAGCAGGCGAAGAUACGGAGAGGUGAAACAGGGAACAUUAAGGAAGGGAGGGGGGAAAAGCAGGGAAAAGAGGAAAAAAUGAAAAAACUCAAGCGUACGUGCGGAGGGGAGAGGCGGGGAGAAGUGCAGGGAGAAGAAGCCAGAGGAAACUUAUCUGCGACAUGACAAAGUUCAAUCCACCGCCCUCCCUCCUCUGCUGAAAGAAAAGUUGCAGCAUCUCGCCGCUCCGGGGCCCGGCCCGGCCCGGCUCUGCCCCUCUGCCCCACAGCCCCCGCGCCCGGCCCAGCCCGGUACCCCAGAGCCCCGCACCGGGGCGAUGGAGGAAACAUCCCAGCCCCGUGUACGAUUAACUGGGCGGAAGGCUCUGCCUCACAUCCUCACCGCGGAGCCAAGGAGGGGAAAGAGGAGGGGGUGUCUCCGGGCCCGUAGCAACGGCGAUGGGUCGCCUGAGAGACGGGUCGCGGCUGCAGCCAGUCCGCACCGGGCACGGCGGAAACUUUUCCUCCUUUAAAAACCGUUUCAGUUGUUUAAAGAACUCUCACGACCGGCCGACACGCUGCGACCCCGCGCCCUCCCCGGCCCGGGAGAGCAUUUUUCCCUCUUUCCCCCCCCCCCCCCCAUCACCAACCCUCCCGAAGAAAAAGAAGGAAAGAGAGAGACCCCUCUGGAGCUCGGUCAGCUCCUGCCCUUUGUGAGGGAGGGAGGGAGGGAGAGAGGGAAAGAGAGAAGGAGCGCGGCGGCGGUCCCCCCGCGGUACUUACGCCGGACUUUGCUGGGGCUGGGCUGCUUGCGCCGCGACAUGCCGGGAGGAUGGGCCGCCGGGGGGGGGCGCGGGGACGCGCCGGUGAGAACGGAGAGGGAGGGGGGUGGUGUGUGGGGUGUGUGUGGAGCGCGCACGGGAGGGAGCCGCAAAGUUGUUCCGGAAAAAGGAAUCAAAAUGGCGUUUCUGUGGAUGUGUGCAAAGUUCAUCAACUCCGCGCGAACUUCCCGUCCUCCGCGCCUCCCUGGAGGGGAGAGAUGGGCACGGUUAGGGACCCCGCCGCGCCGCGCCCGCCCCCUGCCCGCCCCCCGCGCUGCCCCGCGCACCCUGAUAAGGAGACACAUCACGUGUCGCCCCGGCUCCUCUCCCGGGGACCGCCUGUUGCACGCAGCAUCUCUCGCUCGCCCUCGCCGCGGGGAGGGGCGCCCCUCCGGACAGACAGCAGCGAGCACGGCCCCGGCCCCCCCCCCCUCCCCGCACCGGCCCGGCCUCGCCUCCGCCCGCCCCCCGGCAGCGCCGCGCCGGGAUGCCCCAGGCCGGCGGGGGGGCGGCCAGGUGCCACGCGGCGCUCCGUGACACCCCCCCCUCCCCGUCGCUCCGCGCCCGCGGGGCUCCCCCGCCCUGUCCCUCUCUUCUCUCCCGCGGGGCUCUCCGCUGUUCUCCCUCCCGAGCGUGCGUGUCCCCCGGCAGCCGGCGUGCGCUCGGCGCUGGAGCGCAUCCGGAGCGGCCGCGCAGCCGGCUGCCGGCUUUAGGAGUUCAUCGGGGCUCUCCGCUGGCCGUGGAAAUGUCUGUGCAUCAUCCUCCUCCUCCUGCCAGCCCGGCGCCUCACCAGGUACAGCGGCCGCAGGCAGGAGCCCGCCGCUCCGGUCGCAGAACUCAGCUUCUUGCGUUGGUUGGUUUGUUUUGUUUCCUUAGGAAACUUUCGUCCUUGCGCGUUUCGGGUCUCUGUGGGGGUCACUCAUCCACCCGGCUGCCGGAACCUGAAGGACGUGAAAUCCAAAGAGAGCCAGCACAUCAGCAGAGGAACCGGAGGUCCAAAUAUCCCCGUGGCUAAUCAAAGGAGACUGGGACGUUUGCAACCAGAGGUAGUUAAGAGGCUGCACAGGCGCGGUGUGUGGCACUGCACGUAUGGUCCUUCCCGGCACCGUCACUGCAGGGGAAGCUCAAAGGUGUAGAAGGCUCAACAAGUGAUGGAGAUGUGUUCAGAGUCUCGGGGAUUGCACUUUAAAGCCCGUACCGGCUUAGAGUUAUGUGACAAAUAAUAAUAACAGUACGGGAAAAUAACGUAGCUGGAAAUACUCCAUCCUGAAAGCUCGAUGGGGGAGGGGGGGGGGGGGGAAGCAAAGCAAGGGUGAGUGGGGAUAAUGGGGAUGGGAGGAACCGGUUUACACUUGAAGGAAAUGGUUAUUUGCACGAUUUCUAGAGCUAUUAAAAACCCAGGCCUUUUAAAGCUGUUACUGGUGAGAUGGAAACUGAAGUCACAGGCUGUUUCUCAAAAAAAUCAAGUCCUGGCCUGUAAGUGAAAGGCUGGUACCAGUUUACGUGGUAUCCUAUCUCCUGGUUGAAAAGGGAUUCACAUGGAAAGGAGGGCUAAAUUCCUGGUAUGUGGCAGCAAGCCCUCAACCAGCUCUUUUCACAGUCUUUUGUCUUUAAGGUGUCAUUAUUGAUUUCCUUUGAACCAUUCUUUUCAAAUACUGGAUGAAGGCAUAAGGUCAAGAACCCACAGGACCUGUCUCAAAGACAUGCGCUGUGCUUCUUGUCAGGAAUAACCCUCUUCCCUUCCAAGUGAAACACCUGCAGGUCUGGUGAUACAGAACCUGGCAAUGCCAAACGUGCAAGCCCAAGAGGUGCACACGUGUGUAUUCAGGACACGAACCUGCAGCUUUAACUUACGUGUGCUUGUUGUCGUGGCUGUUUCUGCAGGCUGAAUUUUCUGUCAGCCGGAUUUUGUGCGGUAUUAUACAUGAGCUUUGCGUAUAAAUUUCAACACUAUUCAGCUUUGUUAAAGCAGGGUUGCUGACUGACAGAACAGCUACAUAAUAGCCAAGUUUGCCGCUAAUAUUGCCUGCAAUAUUAGGGGCAAACAUUAGAAAGUGCAUUUUGAUUGUUAUGUUACAAUGUUCUUAUUUUACAAAACAAACAA